rnacentral:snoRNA from 1 species
UUGCAGCCAAUUAAGCCGACUGUGCUCUUUUCCCCAUGGGGGCCCAGUGUGCAAUGGCUGCAAAUAGCAGGCUCCUUGGUAGUGUAUGCAACCUGUUGCCUAUACAGGCUGCCCUAAGGGACCUUGGAGACAACU